UGCGCAUGCGUAACAGGCUCUGCUUCACGGCUUGCUGAAGUUUCAUUAGGGCCUAGGACCGGAAGUGCUCGGGCGUCUUGUGGCAAUACUGGGAAAUGUUGGCAGUCAAACUUUCAGAAGACCGAGUUCGCUGUGAGUAAACGAACUAGACUGAAACAGGAGACUUACAGCUGGAGGAGUAUUUAGGAACAUCUCACUUAUCUAGAAGAAAUCCCUUAUAUGGGAACAUCAACUACUUGGAAAUGUUCCAAUAAGGCAGAACACUCUUGAUAAGCAAGAGCAUCACUGUGAUCCCCGUCUACAUUUUGCUUCUCAAUUACUGAUGCACUGGCCACACUGAAGAUUCCAUGGAUGUUAACACGAACUUUAACCUUCACUUUGGAACUAUCACCAUCAGACUGCGGAAAGACAUUCUGAAUAGUGAAGCUCCCUUCAGGAAAAAAGAGCUUUUAUCAGCACAUGGGCCUCUGAUUAACUUACUCAAUUCGUUCAUUCAAUAAUUUGACUAUUAUCAUUUUGAUGCUGGCAAAUAAUCAUAAAAUUAUCAUCACAUCCAGACUGAUUACUGUGAGAAAGGCACUGAUCCUAGAUCACUUUUUUUCUUUUUUACAGCUUAAUAAACUUGAUACUAAGUUUCAGAAAAGGUUAAGCAGCCUGCCCAAAAUCUUUAAUGCAAGGACAAAGACAGAUACACAUACAGGGAGAAUGUCAUGUGAACAUAAAGAUGGCCAGCCAUCCACAAACCAAGGAGAGAAGCCUGGAACAGAUCCUUCCCUCACAGCCCUCAGAAGGAACCCUGUCAACACUUUGAUUUCAUACUUGAAGCUUCUAGAACUGUAAACAAUAAAUUCUACUGUUUAAGCCACUCAGUUUGUGGUAUUUUGUUACAGAAGCCCUAGCAAAUUAAUUCCACCUUCGAUAAUUUAUUUUUACUGCUUUCAAUAACAUAUUUGAAAUAUUCACAUUGUUCCCUUUCUAGCCUAUCAAUAAAGCAG